rnacentral:rRNA from 1 species
CGAAGCGGUGACGCAGAGCGAAUCNCAAAAACUCGGUCUCAGUUCAGAUUGCAGGCUGCAACUCGCCUGCAUGAAGUUGGAAUUGCUAGUAAUCGCGAAUCAGAAUGUCGCGGUGAAUACGUUCCCGGGUCUUGUACACACCGCCCGUCACACCAUGGGAGUCGGUAACGCCCGAAGUCAGUGACCCAACCGGAGGGAGGGAGCUGCCGAAGGCGGGACUGGUAACUGGGGUGAAGUCGUAACAAGGUAGC